rnacentral:rRNA from 1 species
UACGAAGGGUGCAAGCGUUACUCGGAAUUACUGGGCGUAAAGCGUGCGUAGGUGGUGAGUUAAGUCUGUCGUGAAAGCCCCGGGCUCAACCUGGGAAUUGCGAUGGAGACUGCAAGGCUUGAAUCUGGCAGAGGGGGGUAGAAUUCCACGUGUAGCAGUGAAAUGCGUAGAGAUGUGGAGGAACACCGAUGGCGAAGGCAGCCCCCUGGGUCAAGAUUGACGCUCAUGCACGAAAGCGUGGGGAGCAAACAGG